CAAUAGCGUAUAUUUAAGUUGUUGCAGUUAAAAAGCUCGUAGUCGGAUUUUGGCUGAGAACGAUCGGUCCGCCGUUAGUUGUGCACUGAUUGGUCUCAGCUUCCUGGUGAGGAGGUGUGCUUCACGGCCACUUAGUCACCGUGGUUACUUUGAAAAAAUUAGAGUGUUCAAAGCGGGCUUACGCUUGAAUAUAUUAGCAUGGAAUAACACCAUAGGACUCCUGUCCUAUUUCGUUGGUCUCGGGACGGGAGUAAUGAUUAAGAGGAACAGUUGGGGGCAUUCGUAUUUCAUUGUCAGAGGUGAAAUUCUUGGAUUUAUGAAAGACGAACUUCUGCGAAAGCAUUUGCCAAGGAUGUUUUCAUUGA
rnacentral:rRNA from 1 species